rnacentral:lncRNA from 1 species
CCAAAAAAACAAUGGGCUAUAGCCUUGGUGGGGGGCGUGGGCGACGUUAGUCCGCGGGACUCGGAAUGGCCCAAGACUUGGUGGGCGGCCUCCGUGUGCCAAAAAUAGGCCACGGGCACAGCCGCGCCGAAAAAUCAGCCCCCGAAGGUCGGGGUCCCAAGACCCCCCAGCGGAAAAAUGGCCAAAAAAAGGAUGGGCUAUAGCCUUGGUGGGGGGCGUGGGCGAAGUUCGUCCGCCGGAGUCGGAAUGGCCCCAGACUUGGCGGGCGGCCUCCGUGCGCCAAAAAUAGGCCACGGGCGCAGCCGCGCCCAAAAAUCAGCCCCCGAAGGUCGGGGUCCCAAGACCCCCCAGCGGAAAAAUGGCCAAAAAACGGGUGGGCUAUAGCCUUGGCGGGGGGCGUGGGCGAAGUUCGUCCGCCGGACUCGGAAUGGCCCCAGACUUGGCGGGUGGCCUACGUUCGCAAA